UGAACGCUGGCGGCGUGCCUAAUACAUGCACGUCGAGCGAACAGACGAGGAGCUUGCUCCUCUGACGUUAGCGGCGGACGGGUGAGUAACACGUGGAUAACCUACCUAUAAGACUGGGAUAACUUCGGGAAACCGGAGCUAAUACCGGAUAAUAUAUUGAACCGCAUGGUUCACUAGUGAAAGACGGUUUUGCUGUCACUUAUAGAUGGAUCCGCGCCGCAUUAGCUAGUUGGUAAGGUAACGGCUUACCAAGGCAACGAUGCGUAGCCGACCUGAGAGGGUGAUCGGCCACACUGGAACUGAGACACGGUCCAGACUCCUACGGGAGGCAGCAGUAGGGAAUCUUCCGCAAUGGGCGAAAGCCUGACGGAGCAACGCCGCGUGAGUGAUGAAGGUCUUCGGAUCGUAAAACUCUGUUAUUAGGGAAGAACAAAUGUGUAAGUAACUAUGCACGUCUUGACGGUACCUAAUCAGAAAGCCACGGCUAACUACGUG
rnacentral:rRNA from 1 species